UAAACAUCCAAAUAAACCAAUCUACACAAAAGAGGUCACUUUGGCGACAUAUUGUUUCAAUUAGUUUAUUUAAAAUGCUAGAUAACCUUAAUUUAUUAUGAAUAAAUUACCAAAAUAUUUGAAUUUUAUUGUUCCACAUAAUUAAAUCUUAAUUAUUCCUCUUAAGGGAGUCUUUAGUACCAAAAUUAUAGAGAGAGAAUCACUAAUUUUGCAUUAUUAGAUGCCUUUAGAAAGUUUAGGGACCUAAGGGUUAAUAAUUCAAAACUUUAGGGAUCAAAAUUUGAAAAAUUUUAAAACUUUAAGGGCUAAUUUUAAUUAAUUAUGAACUUUGGGGACUUUAAUUGCAAAAUUCAAAAGUUUAAUGGCCCAGAUUAAAUAAUUUUCCAAAAUCUAGGGGCUGAAUUAUUAAACCCAUAACCUUAAGGUCCAACUUGGAUGAAUAACAAAGUUUAGGGACUGAAUUUAAAAUUUUAACUUUAAAACCCUAAUUAGAAAUUGCAAGCAA
rnacentral:lncRNA from 1 species